rnacentral:rRNA from 1 species
AUGUGGAUGUUGUCUGCUAAUAGGAAAUUUUCUGUAAAGUCUCUUUACCUCCAUCUCAUUAAAACAGAUGUGGGUUUCCCACAAAAAUUCUUGUGGAAAACAAAAGUGCCAGCGAAAAUCAAAAUUUUCCUAUGGCUAUUAAACAAAAAAAGUAUCCUAACCAAAGAUAAUCUGUUAAAGAGAGGGUGUAAAGGGGACAAAGAGUGUGUCCUGUGUGGGAAAGAGCAGAGCAUUGAUCACCUCUUCUUCUCCUAUUCGGUAGCUAGGCUCAUCUGGAGUCUGGUUGGUUGUGCUUUUGAUCUAAAGCAGAUCCCGAGAGAUCUGAAUGAUUGCUUUGGGAACUGGCUUAAGAAAUUUAACAAGAAUGACAAAAGGCUGGUGUUGACUCGCACUUCGGCCCUGCUUUGGCCAAUUUGGAAUUGUAAAAAUGAUAUUAUUUUUGGUAGGAAAAAUAUAAAUGACCCAUAUGGGAUCAUCAAAAGAAUGUGUAAUUGGAUUAUUGACUGGGCUGUUUUGCAGAGAAAUGACCCAGAGGAAAAAAUGUUGAUGUUGGGGGCAAGACUCAUCGAAUAG